ACGAACGCUGGCGGCAUGCCUCACACAUGCAAGUCGAACGAGACCUUCGGGUCUAGUGGCGCACGGGUGCGUAACGCGUGGGAACCUGCCCUUAGGUUCGGAAUAACUCCCCGAAAGGGGUGCUAAUACCGGAUAAUGUCUUCGGACCAAAGAUUUAUCGCCUUUGGAUGGGCCCGCGUUGGAUUAGCUAGUUGGUAGGGUAAAAGCCUACCAAGGCGACGAUCCAUAGCUGGUCUGAGAGGAUGAUCAGCCACACUGGGACUGAGACACGGCCCAGACUCCUACGGGAGGCAGCAGUGGGGAAUAUUGGACAAUGGGCGAAAGCCUGAUUCAGCAAUGCCGCGUGAGUGAUGAAGGCCUUAGGGUUGUAAAGCUCUUUUACCCGGGAUGAUAAUGACAGUACCGGGAGAAUAAGCUCCGGCUAACUCCGU
rnacentral:rRNA from 1 species